rnacentral:rRNA from 1 species
AGCGAACGCUGGCGGCAGGCCUAACACAUGCAAGUCGAACGAACUCUUCGGAGUUAGUGGCGGACGGGUGAGUAACACGUGGGAACGUGCCUUUUGGUUCGGAAUAACUCAGGGAAACUUGUGCUAAUACCGAAUGCGCCCUUCGGGGGAAAGAUUUAUCGCCAUUAGAGCGGCCCGCGUCUGAUUAGCUAGUUGGUGAGGUAACGGCUCACCAAGGCGACGAUCAGUAGCUGGUCUGAGAGGAUGACCAGCCACACUGGGACUGAGACACGGCCCAGACUCCUACGGGAGGCAGCAGUGGGGAAUCUUGCGCAAUGGGCGAAAGCCUGACGCAGCCAUGCCGCGUGAAUGAUGAAGGUCUUAGGAUUGUAAAAUUCUUUCACCGGGGACGAUAAUGACGGUACCCGGAGAAGAAGCCCCGGCCAACUUCGUG